UACGUAGGGGGGCUAGCGUUGUCCGGAAUCAUUGGGCGUAAAGCGCGUGUAGGCGGUUCGGUAAGUCCGCUGUGAAAGUCGGGGGCUCAACCCUCGAAAGCCGGUGGAUACUGUCGGGCUAGAGUACGGAAGAGGCGAGUGGAAUUCCUGGUGUAGCGGUGAAAUGCGCAGAUAUCAGGAGGAACACCGGUGGCGAAGGCGGGUCUCUGGGCCGUAACUGACGCUGAGGAGCGAAAAGCGUGGGG
rnacentral:rRNA from 1 species